rnacentral:lncRNA from 1 species
UGGACAGUUUGGCUGAGCCCUCUCCUUCUCCAGGCGUCCUGACCUGACAACCAUCACUCUUGAGACGCUCUGUCUGACUCUGGGAAUACAGUCUAUUUGGAACUCAGUAAAAUGCUGGAGUUUUAAAGGAUGCCAGCCUUUUCAAAGACGAAACUUAUUGUCAGUGCCCACAUGUACUAGGCACUUCCCCAGGAACUGUUCCUACAGAUGUGACACUUAUAUUUCUAAAGAAGCAAGGUAAGAGGUGCCAACGUUUUUGCUUGGUAUGGAGCUAGUUCAAAGAAGGAAAGUAUAAACUGCUGCUGGUGGGCAGUGUUUUGUUUUGGG